UACGUAGGGGGCGAGCGUUGUCCGGAUUUAUUGGGCGUAAAGAGCUCGUAGGCGGCUUGUUGCGUCGACCGUGAAAACUUGGGGCUCAACCCCAAGCCUGCGGUCGAUACGGGCAGGCUAGAGUUCGGUAGGGGAGACUGGAAUUCCUGGUGUAGCGGUGAAAUGCGCAGAUAUCAGGAGGAACACCGGUGGCGAAGGCGGGUCUCUGGGCCGAUACUGACGCUGAGGAGCGAAAGCGUGGGGAGCGAACAGG
rnacentral:rRNA from 1 species